UAGACUUCUCGCACCUGGUUUUCUGAACCGGGCGGUGAGCUUUGGACGCUGCCAGCCUUCUGGCUCGUCUCAAAUGUCUAAGUGGAACGCGUAAUAAGUUUUCGCCCCCUCCACUCUAAUACUACUUUUAG
rnacentral:misc_RNA from 1 species